UACAAGCACAGUAACGUUCCUGACCUCACUGCACCCCGCGGGGAUGCCAGGCCGCAGCAUCAGCUCCUGCCGGGAACUUGCUGGAAACGCACCUUCCGAGCCGAGCCAGGGCUGCGCACAGCCUGCAUCCCCGGCACUCUGGGAGGCUGCGGCAAGAGAAUCGCAAGUUGGAGCCCACAUGCAGCUCAGGCCAAAGGCCCUGGGUUCAAUUCCCAGUGCCGGGGGGGGGGCGCAUUCUGGGGCCACCCCAGAUCUCCUGCGAGGAAGGUUGUGAGGUCUCGGGACUGCAACAGCUCACGCCUCGUGUGGGUCUGACUGCUGAUGGGCACGCGCGUCACGCCCGAGGACCGCUGCGUCCGCGGUCGCUCUGAGAAAGGCUGGCUGGUUUGCUUGGCGGGCUUGUGGGUUGAUUUUUAUGGUGCUGGGGACAGAACCCAGGACCUUGAGCGCUUCUCCCGAGCCACACCGCCGGCAAGGCCCUGGGGGGUCUUCACCCUGUGGAGCCGGAGGGGCCUCGAGGAGGAGGUGCCGGAGGGGAGGUGUGGGGGAGCCUCUGUUUUCUUUCCCUUCCCUCCCGUCUCCUCCAUUUUACCUCCCUCGGGCUUCUCAGUCCGCAGCCGCAGCAGACCCCAGAGUGAGAAGGGGGAGGCGGAGCCUGAGGACAGGGCCCUCCAGGAGCGCUGGCCGCCGGGAGAGGCCUGAGGCAGCCCUGUCCUUGCCCAGCCACCCUCGGUUCCCUGGGAAACUUCCCACAGGUCCCCCACCAACUCCAGGGAGAAGGCAAGGGUCACCGGCGCCUCCGAGCUCUUCUUCAUAGGCCCAGGUUGGGGCCUCCCACCUCUGACUCCGCUUCCAGCUCCCCAUGGGGCUCUCCUCUUGGUCCAGUCACCCCCCACCCCGGCCAGGAGCCACGGAGAUGGAGGAGAGGACAGGACAGACCCCAGCUUCUCGCCCACUGUGGCCCAGCAAAAGGCAGGGACCUGGAGGCAGAGAUGGAGACCAGAGGAGGGAGCCGAGGGAGGCCGGAGAGGACUCGGGGAAAGGAGAACUGGGCUUUGCGACGUAAAAUACAAGGAACAUCCUAGAAAAGCUUAUCAUGAAGCAUCCACAGAGGGCCCACUUGUUUCCUCUUCCAGUUGCAUCUUUUUCCCCAGCGCCGCCAAGGUACCGAGCUCCAAACAACUGCCUCACGUCCCCUGCUCUGGGAAACUGGUUGUAAACAGACCAGCCAGCUGCCCCCCACUGUGCCCCGGGCAGCCCAUUCUGGGCCUGACAGGGAGCUGUCUUCCCUCACCUCGGAGUUCCUUCAGGGAAGUUACUGGCGUGGGGGACUGUGCAGCAGCUGCAUGGCUCCUGUUGAUGGUACAGGCUAAGUGAGACCUGGUGCUUGUAUUAACUGGGUAUACUUUUUGGAACUUGGCAACAUUUCCACUAUGAUGUAUCAGGUUGAUAACUGAUACAUGCAAGAAGCAGCUAAAUACCCUUGAGUAAAAGGAUCACUUGGGAGAUGGCCCAUGAAGUGGCCAGGUCUGCAGAGGCGUGGAUUUCGGCAGUUCUGCGCUAGCAACUCCACAUGAACUUAGCAUCUACUCCUGUGCUUAUCGGCGGCGUAAUCGUCUCUCAAGUCUGUCUGCUCUGUCCCUCCACCUCCUCCGCACAGCCACCCCUGGGAACACUCGGCUCUCCCCCCCCCUCCCCCCAUCACGGGCGACAGGUGAAGCGCCUGGAUUGGCCUUCUCCAACGUAUGCUGCCCAAACUCCAGCCCUUACUGGGCUCUCAGGACCUGUGAAGCCUGGCUCCACCCUUUCAACCACGCUGCCCUCCACCCGCUCCUGCACCCUCCAGUUCCUGUCUACACCGCAGUUUCUCCUGCAAGAACCUGUGGAGCGGCUGGACCACAGCCCGCAAGCCUCCUGGCUCUGCGCCUCUCCUAACUCCGCUCCAGGCCUUGCUGCAUCCUCGGGGAAGCUCCCCGCCCUUCCUUCCGGGCUCAGAGCUCUCGCACCGGGAAGCGGGAAGCGCUUUCCCGGGAGACAGGGGCACUGGGCAGUCGCGGAUUUCUAGGAGACCGAGGUCUGCUUCCCACAGCAUGAGCUCCCUGGGGCGGGGACUGCGACCCAGAUGGGCCGUCUCCGUCCCGGGACCCAGCCCUGGGCCAGCAGACACAGGCAGAACCGACGCCCGCGCGCCGGGCUCAGGGGCCGGGGCUUCGUCCUGCAGGACUUCAGAACGGGUGGGUGGAGCCACCAUUCUCCUGGGGAGCUGCUGCUCAGGGCGCCCAGGACACCCUUACUCCUUCCGACUUCCCAGCAUCAUCCUGGCCUUCUCCAUCCCACCUGUGAAACCCUCACCUCCUGCCACAUCUCGGUGCACCUUUCUGGUUCUGCUUCACUGGCCUCAAAAAGCAGCAUGGAAUAAAAGACCUGAGCACCGGAUUCAGAA